rnacentral:rRNA from 1 species
GGACAAUGAGCGCAAGCUUGAUCCAGCCAUACCGCGYGUGUGAAGAAGGCUUUCGGGUUGUAAAGCACUUUAAGCAGGGAGAAAAAGUUAUAGGUUAAUACCCUAUGACCGUGAUGUUACCUGCAGAAUAAGCACCGGCUAAUUCCGUG